CCUACGGGAGGCAGCAGUAAGGGAUAUUGCACAAUGGGCGGAAGCCUGAUGCAGCGACGCCGCGUGGGCGAAGAAGGUUUUCGGAUCGUAAAGUCCUUUUCUAGGUGACGAGGAAGGACGGUAGCCUAGGAAUAAGUGUCGGCUAACUACGUGCCAGCAGCCGCGGUAAAACGUAGGACGCGAACGUUAUCCGGAGUUACUGGGCGUAAAGCGCGCGCAGGCGGUGUCAUAAGUUACCCAUGAAAGUUACUGGCUAAACUGGUAAUAGUUGGGUGAAACUGUGGUACUAGAGAGGAAUAGAGGGAAGCGGAAUUCCGGGUGUAGUGGUGAAAUGCGUAGAUAUCCGGAGGAAUACCGGUGGCGAAGGCGGCUUCCUGGAUUUCAACUGACGCUGAGGCGCGAAAGCGUGGGUAGCGAACGGGAUUAGAAACCCCGGUAGUCCACGCCGUAAACGAUGCACAUUAGAUGUUCGGUCAUGUUAAGUGAUUGAGUGCUACAGCAAACGCGAUAAAUGUGCCGCCUGGGGAGUACGGUCGCAAGGCUAAAACUCAAAGGAAUUGACGG
rnacentral:rRNA from 1 species